rnacentral:tRNA from 1 species
CAGUAAGUAGUUUAUUUAAAACAUUAAUUUUGGAGGUUAAAGAUGCGAUUAGCUCGUUUUACUGA